CUUAGAGAAUAGAGAUCGCGGGUAGCCCAGCACUCCAAGUAUAAACCUGUUUUCCAAACUCCCAGCCAGAGCUCUCUGAAGACCAUAAUCAAGGACAACAUGAACAAAUUCUUUUCUCGCAAACUUGCAUCAAGGCUUUCGAAUUCCUAUGGGAAUUCUCACUAUUGCAGGGAUUGCGCUUCUUUUUCCACACAAGUGCUAACCGGUAACCAAAACUACUUCUAUGGCUCCUUCAUCACUCGCCCGGUUAAGGAUCACUCGCGUUCAUGGAGUUCACAUCGAAGUUUUACCGAGAAAAUUCAUGGGUUUUUCUCAGGCCCGGUGGUCGGAAAGCGAUUCAUAUUGAAUCCUUCAAACACCCUUUUCAAGGGGUCCAUUAAGAGUCUAGUAGGAAGGUCUCUCUUUAUGGGAAGCCCAUUUUCGAAACUUAAAUUUCAGUUGAAACCAGGUUUUGAUCAUCGAUGGUCAGGCAGGAGGGCAUGGUUUCAAAGGCUGACGACUAAUGAUGUAGUGUUGGGGUUGAUUAUAGCUAAUGUUGCUGUUUUCCUCCUCUGGCGGAUUGCUGAUCCUAUCUUUAUGUCAAAAAACUUUACUAUCUCUGUAGAAAAUGUUAGAAGCGGACGCAUACAUACAUUGAUUACAUCAGCCUUCAGUCACGUAGAAAUUGGCCAUAUAGUAUCCAACAUGAUUGGACUAUACUUCUUUGGGAUGAACGUAUGGCUAUCUUUCUUCGAACUUCUACUAGAUCGGUCGAGUGUUUGGUCCCGAGUUUUUGUUGGGAUUGUAUCUGGCUGGAGCAAUUGGCGGGUCAGCAUUUUACUUGGCACAGCAUCUGUUUCAAGCAUCAUCCUCAAAGAGCCGGCCAUUUUGGGGCAAGGAUCCCGCACGAGCACAAGGAUUGGGUGCAAGCGGAGCUGUAAAUGCUAUCAUGCUGCUUGAUAUAUUCCUCUUCCCAAAGUCGACCCUCUAUCUCGAAUUCUUUAUACCUGUUCCUGCCAUCUUACUGGGCAUUUUUCUCAUUGGAAAAGACAUGUUGAGGAUACUAGAGAAUGACAGCCAAAUUUCAGGAUCUGCACACCUCGGGGGUGCUGCAGUUGCAGCCUUAGCCUGGGCCCGAGUUCGCCGGGGUCGUUUCUGAAUAUCAAAAGAACUUUCGUACUCGCAAUCCAGAUUUGAUGCAGCAAUGCACAUCAUCAUCUUCUUUCCUAUUUCUCUCAUUCUACACUACCUUCAUUCUAGUGUAUAGAAGCUGAAAGACUUUUCAGAGUUUAAUUGGUUUAAUACAUUUAUAUUUCAUUACAUAGUUUGUUCAUUAAACUUCUGAUUGUUUAUAUAUAUGUCACGCUGCCUACCUGAUGGCAAUCCAUUAAACUUCUGA